GACGAACGCUGGCGGCGUGCUUAACACAUGCAAGUCGAGCGGUAAGGCCCUUUCGGGGGUACGACGAGCGGCGAACGGGUAGAGUAACACGUGGGUGACCUGCCCUUAGCUCUGGGAGUAAGCCUGGGAAACGUGGGUCGUAAUACCGGAUAUGACUCCAUGACGCAUGUUGUGGGGUGGAAAGCCUUGUGCGGCUAGGGAUGGGCCUGCGGCCUAUCAGCUUGUUGGUGGGGUGAGGCCUACCAAGGCGACGACGGGUAGCCGGCCU
rnacentral:rRNA from 1 species